GACGAACGCUGGCGGCGUGCCUAAUACAUGCAAGUUGAGCGCUGAAGGUUGGUACUUGUACCAACUGGAUGAGCAGCGAACGGGUGAGUAACGCGUGGGGAAUCUGCCUUUGAGCGGGGGACAACAUUUGGAAACGAAUGCUAAUACCGCAUAAAAACUUUAAACACAAGUUUUAAGUUUGAAAGAUGCAAUUGCAUCACUCAAAGAUGAUCCCGCGUUGUAUUAGCUAGUUGGUGAGGUAAAGGCUCACCAAGGCGAUGAUACAUAGCCGACCUGAGAGGGUGAUCGGCCACAUUGGGACUGAGACACGGCCCAAACUCCUACGGGAGGCAGCAGUAGGGAAUCUUCGGCAAUGGACGAAAGUCUGACCGAGCAACGCCGCGUGAGGGAAGAAGGGUUUCGGAUCGUAAAACUCUGUUGGUAGAGAAGAACGUUGGUGAGAGUGAAAAGCUCAUCAAGUGACGGUAACUACCCAGAAAGGGACGGCUAACUACGUG
rnacentral:rRNA from 1 species